rnacentral:rRNA from 1 species
GGAAUAUUGGACAAUGGGCGAAAGCCUGAUCCAGCAAUGCCGCGUGUGUGAAGAAGGCUCUAGGGUUGUAAAGCACUUUAAGCAGGGAAGAAAAGCCGCGGGCGAAUAACCCGAUGGUAUUGACGGUACCUGCAGCAUAAGCACCGGCUAACUCCGUGCCAGCAGCCGCGGUAACACGGAGGGUGCAAGCGUUAAUCGGAUUUACUGGGCGUAAAGCGUGCGUAGGCGGUUUGAUAAGUCGGAUGUGAAAGCCCCGGGCUCAACCUGGGAAUUGCACCCGAAACUGUCUGACUAGAGUGUGGUAGAGGGAAGUGGAAUUCCAGGUGUAGCGGUGAAAUGCGUAGAUAUCUGGAGGAACACCAAUGGCGAAGGCAGCUUCCUGGGCCAACACUGACGCUGAGGUACGAAAGCGUGGGGAGCA